rnacentral:miRNA from 1 species
GAUAUUCGACGUCAUAAACACGAUCAACUUAGGUGUUUAUGACGUCGACGUUAUAAACACGAUCAGCUUUGGUGUUUAUGACAUCGAUAUUCGAUCAACUUAGGUGUUUAGGACGAUCAACUUAGGGACACGAUCAACUUAGGUGUUUAUGACGUCGAUAAUCUACGUCAUAAACACGAUCAACUUAGAUGUUUAUGACGUCGAUACUCGACGUCAUUAACACGAUCAACUUUGGUGUUUAUGACGUCGACGUCAUAAGCACGAUCAACUUUGGUGUUUAUGACGUCGAUAUUC